CCCCCAGUAACGGCGAGUGAAGCGGGAAGAGCUCAAGCUUAAAAUCUCCAUACCUGUAUGGCGAAUUGUAGUCUAUUGAGGCUGUUGUCAGCAUCGCGAUUGGGGACAAGUCCCUUGGAAAAGGGCAGCAUGGAGGGUGAUACUCCCGUCUCUGCUCCAAUUUGCGGUGUGUACGAUACGCUUUCUUUGAGUCGAGUUGUUUGGGAAUACAGCUCAAAGUAGGUGGUAAAUUCCAUCUAAAGCUAAAUAUUGGUGCGAGACCGAUAGCGAACAAGUACCGUGAGGGAAAGAUGAAAAGAACUUUGAAAAGAGAGUUAAAGAGUACCUGAAACUGUUGAAAGGGAACCGUAUCGUUUCCAGUGUUGUAUCCUAUGCAUAUUUCAUUCGCGGAGCAAUUUGCGGGUGCCCUGUGCAUGGGUGUGACGUCAGAGUCAGUUUGUAUGCUGCGGGAGAUGGUCAGUGAGGAGGUGCGUCACUUCGGUGAAAGUUAUAUCUCGCUGUCUAGUAGCCGUGGUUGAGACUGAGGUGCCUACAACAUGCCUUAAAGUUCCGUGUUGCCUCGUGUUGAUGACUGCUUUGAUAGCUUGCUAUGUCUGUGGUUUAUGAAUGCGAUUGGUGAU
rnacentral:rRNA from 1 species